GGUGAUAGGCCAGAGUAAAAAAAAAAAAAUGUUGAUUUUACUUUGAUGAAACUUGCUUAACCUAACUAUAAUAUUCAUUGACCUUAUUGUAAACCUUUACUAUCUGCUUCUGACAAUAGUUAGUUGCUGUUACUGUUUGCAUUGAUUGGAAUUUUAUCUUAAGAUUGACUCAAAGAUGGCAGGAGACUAUAGGUUUGCAAUGGACCGAAAGGAUAACAAGGUUCUAGAUCAACACUGCGGAUAGUUAAUACAAGAUCGACUUGCGCUAUGGACUUGAGCAUAAUCCUUCCAAAUAUGUAUCCAAUUCUGCAGUAGUGCUGCUCAGAAUUUUAUCAAGAAGCAAGUCUAUAUAGGAGAAGAUCUGCUAUAUAGGAGAAGAUCUGUGUUAACAUGAAUCAAGAAGAAAAUAAAGUACUCUCUCUCUCCUGGAAGUCUGAAAUUUGCCUGAGGGAACCGCCAUCAAUUUUAGAGAAGCAUUUUGCAAAUCAUAUUUUUAUUCUGAUAAAAAAAAUCU
rnacentral:misc_RNA from 1 species